rnacentral:rRNA from 1 species
AGACGUCUACAUUAGAUACCCGGGUAGUCCCAGCCGUAAACUAUGCGCGUUAGGUGUAUCGGUGACCACGAGUCACCGAGGUGCCGAAGGGAAACCGUGAAACGUGCCGCUUGGGAAGUACGGUCGCAAGGCUGAAACUUAAAGGAAUUGGCGGGGAGCACCACAACGGGUGGAGCCUGCGGUUUAAUUGGACUCAACGCCGGGAAGCUCACCGGAUAAGACAGCGGAAUGAUUGCCGGGCUGAAGACUCUGCAUGACUAGCUG